rnacentral:rRNA from 1 species
GACGAACGCUGGCGGCGUGCUUAACACAUGCAAGUCGAACGGAAAGGCCCUGCUUUUGUGGGGUGCUCGAGUGGCGAACGGGUGAGUAACACGUGAGUAACCUGCCCUUGACUUUGGGAUAACUUCAGGAAACUGGGGCUAAUACCGGAUAGGAGCUCCUGCUGCAUGGUGGGGGUUGGAAAGUUUCGGCGGUUGGGGAUGGACUCGCGGCUUAUCAGCUUGUUGGUGGGGUAGUGGCUUACCAAGGCUUUGACGGGUAGCCGGCCUGAGAGGGUGACCGGCCACAUUGGGACUGGGAUACGGCCCGGACUCCUACGGGAGGCAGCAGUGGGGAAUAUUGCACAAUGGGCGGAAGCCUGAUGCAGCAACGCCGCGUGCGGGAUGACGGCCUUCGGGUUGUAACCCGCUUUCGCCUGUGACGAAGCGUGAGUGACGGUAAUGGGUAAAGAAGCACCGGCUAACUACGUG